AUAAUGGGUCAGCGACUUAUAUUCUGUAGCAAGGUUAACCGAAUAGGGGAGCCGAAGGGAAACCGAGUCUUAACUGGGCGUUAAGUUGCAGGGUAUAGACCCGAAACCCGGUGAUCUAGCCAUGGGCAGGUUGAAGGUUGGGUAACACUAACUGGAGGACCGAACCGACUAAUGUUGAAAAAUUAGCGGAUGACUUGUGGCUGGGGGUGAAAGGCCAAUCAAACCGGGAGAUAGCUGGUUCUCCCCGAAAGCUAUUUAGGUAGCGCCUCGUGAAUUCAUCUCCGGGGGUAGAGCACUGUUUCGGCAAGGGGGUCAUCCCGACUUACCAACCCGAUGCAAACUGCGAAUACCGGAGAAUGUUAUCACGGGAGACACACGGCGGGUGCUAACGUCCGUCGUGAAGAGGGAAACAACCCAGACCGCCAGCUAAGGUCCCAAAGUCAUGGUUAAGUGGGAAACGAUGUGGGAAGGCCCAGACAGCCAGGAUGUUGGCUUAGAAGCAGCCAUCAUUUAAAGAAAGCGUAAUAGCUCACUGGUCGAGUCGGCCUGCGCGGAAGAUGUAACGGGGCUAAACCAUGCACCGAAGCUGCGGCAGCGACGCUUAUGCGUUGUUGGGUAGGGGA
rnacentral:rRNA from 1 species